GUGAUGCGUAGCGAACCAAAGGGUAGCGAAGCAGGUGAGCCAGCCGUCGAGAAAAGCUGCUAUUGUGAUAUAUGAACCCGUACCGUAAACCGACACAGGUGGAUGAGGAGAGAAUCCUAAGGCCGACGGGAGAAGCAUUGUUAAGGAACUCGGCAAAAUGACCCCGUAACUUCGGGAGAAGGGGUGCCUGCGAGAGCAGGCCGCAGAGAAUAGGUCCAAGCAACUGUUUAGCAAAAACACAGGUCUAUGCGAAACCGAAAGGUGAAGUAUAUAGGCUGACGCCUGCCCGGUGCUGGAAGGUUACGAGGAGUGCUUAGACGUAAGUCGAAGGUGCGAAUUUAAGCCCCAGUAAACGGCGGCCGUAACGAUAACGGUCCUAAGGUAGCGAAAUUCCUUGUCGGGUAAGUUCCGACCCGCACGAAAGGCGUAAUGAUUUGGACGCUGUCUCGACAAUGCACCCGGUGAAAUUGAAAUACCAGUGAAGAUGCUGGUUACCCGCGCCAGGACGGAAAGACCCCAUGGAGCUUUACUCUAGUUUGAUACUGGGAUUCGGUACUGCAUGUACAGGAUGGGUGGGAGACUGUGAAGAUGUGACGCCAGUUGCAUCUGAGUCGAUGUUGGGAUACCACCCUUGUAGUAUUGGAUUUCUAACCAACAGCCGUGAUCCGGCUGGGGGACAAUGUCAGGCGGGGAGUUUGACUGGGGCGGUCGCCUCCGAAAGGGUAUCGGAGGCGCUCAAAGGUUCCCUCAGAAUGGUCGGAAACCAUUCGAAGAGUGCAAAGGCAGAAGGGAGCUUGACUGCGACACCGACGGGUGGAGCAGGUAGGAAACUAGGACUUAGUGAUCCGGUGGUAUGAAAGUGGGAUUGCCAUCGCUCAACGGAUAAAAGCUACCCUGGGAUAACAGGCUUAUCACUCCCAAGAGUUCACAUCGACGGAGUGGUUUGGCACCUCGAUGUCGGCUCAUCGCAUCCUGGGGCUGUAGUAGGUCCCAAGGGUUGGGCUAUUCGCCCAUUAAAGCGGUACGCGAGCUGGGUUCAGAACGUCGUGAGACAGUUCGGUCCCUAUCCGGCGCGGGCGUAGGAUAUUUGAGAGGAGCUGCCCUUAGUACGAGAGGACCGGGGUGGACUGACCUCUGGUGUACCGGUUGUACUACCAAGUGCAUAGCCGGGUAGCCAAGUCGGGCCGGGAUAAACGCUGAAGGCAUCUAAGCGUGAAGCCCCCCUCAAGAUAAGAUAUCCCUGACAAUAAGUCAAUAAGACCCCUUGAAGACGACGAGGUAGAUAGGUCUGAGGUGGAAGUACAGUAAUGUAUGCAGCUGACAGAUACUAAUAGGUCGAAGGCUUGACC
rnacentral:rRNA from 1 species